UACGUAGGGUGCGAGCGUUGUCCGGAAUUAUUGGGCGUAAAGAGCUCGUAGGCGGCCUGUCGCGUCGGAUGUGAAAGCCCGGGGCUUAACCCCGGGUCUGCAUUCGAUACGGGCAGGCUAGAGUGUGGUAGGGGAGAUCGGAAUUCCUGGUGUAGCGGUGAAAUGCGCAGAUAUCAGGAGGAACACCGGUGGCGAAGGCGGUUCUCUGGGCCUUACCUGACGCUGAGGAGCGAAAGCGUGGGGAGCAAACAGG
rnacentral:rRNA from 1 species